rnacentral:rRNA from 1 species
GACGAACGCUGGCGGCGUGCCUAAUACAUGCAAGUCGAGCGGACGGAUGGGAGCUUGCUCCCAGACCGUCAGCGGCGGACGGGUGAGUAACACGUUGGCAACCUGCCUGUAAGACUGGGAUAACUCCGGGAAACCGGGGCUAAUACCGGAUAACUCUUUCCCUCACAUGAGGGAAAGCUGAAAGAUGGCAUCUCGCUAUCACUUACAGAUGGGCCCGCGGCGCAUUAGCUAGUUGGUGAGGUAACGGCUCACCAAGGCGACGAUGCGUAGCCGACCUGAGAGGGUGAUCGGCCACACUGGGACUGAGACACGGCCCAGACUCCUACGGGAGGCAGCAGUAGGGAAUCUUCCGCAAUGGACGAAAGUCUGACGGAGCAACGCCGCGUGAGUGAUGAAGGUUUUCGGAUCGUAAAACUCUGUUGUCAGGGAAGAACAAGUACCGGAGUAACUGCCGGUACCUUGACGGUACCUGACCAGAAAGCCACGGCUAACUACGUG